UACGGAGGGUGCGAGCGUUGUCCGGAAUCACUGGGCGUAAAGGGCGCGUAGGCGGCGCGGGAAGUCCGUGGUGAAAGCCCGAGGCUCAACUUCGGGUCGGCCAUGGAUACUCCUGGGCUUGAGCACUGUAGAGGCAGGUGGAAUUCCGGGUGUAGCGGUGGAAUGCGUAGAGAUCCGGAAGAACACCGGUGGCGAAGGCGGCCUGCUGGGCAGUAGCUGACGCUGAGGCGCGACAGCGUGGGGAGCAAACGGG
rnacentral:rRNA from 1 species